rnacentral:rRNA from 1 species
GGAGAGGGAGCCUGAGAAACGGCUACCACAUCCAAGGAUGGCAGCAGGCGCGCAAAUUACCCAAUCCCGACACGGGGAGGUAGUGACAAUAAAUAACAAUACGGGGUUCUUUAGGAUUUCGUAAUUGGAAUGAGUACAAUUUAAAUCUCUUAACGAGGAACAAUUGGAGGGCAAGUCUGGUGCCAGCAGCCGCGGUAAUUCCAGCUCCAAUAGCGUAUAUUAAAGUUGUUGCAGUUAAAAAGCUCGUAGUUGAAUUUCGGGGUCAGUAGGUCGGUCGGGCCUCUGGUAUGUACUGGCCCUACUGAUUCCUCCUUCUUGAAGAACCGUAAUGCCAUUAAUUUGGUGUUGCGGGGAAACAGGACUGUUACUUUGAAAAAAUUAGAGUGUUUAAAGCAGGCAAUCGCUUGAAUACAUUAGCAUGGAAUAAUGAAAUAGGACGUUCGAUCCUAUUUUGUUGGUUUCUAGGAUUGACGUAAUGAUUAAUAGGGAUAGUUGGGGGCAUUAGUAUUCAAUUGUCAGAGGUGAAAUUCUUGGAUUUAUUGAAGACUAACUACUGCGAAAGCAUUUGCCAAGGAUGUUUUCAUUAAUCAAGAACGAAAGUUAGGGGAUCGAAGACGAUCAGAUACCGUCGUAGUCUUAACCAUAAACUAUGCCGACUAGGGAUCGGAUGAUGUUAAUUUUUUAAUGACU